UACGUAGGGAGCAAGCGUUGUCCGGAAUUAUUGGGCGUAAAGAGCUCGUAGGCGGUUUGUCGCGUCUGCUGUGAAAACUCGGGGCUUAACUCCGGGCCUGCAGUGGGUACGGGCAGACUAGAGUGUGGUAGGGGAGACUGGAAUUCCUGGUGUAGCGGUGAAAUGCGCAGAUAUCAGGAGGAACACCGAUGGCGAAGGCAGGUCUCUGGGCCACUACUGACGCUGAGAAGCGAAAGCAUGGGGAGCGAACAGG
rnacentral:rRNA from 1 species